rnacentral:rRNA from 1 species
AGAGUUUGAUCCUGGCUCAGGAUGAACGCUGGCGGCGUGCUUGAUACAUGCAAGUCGAACGGAGAGUGUAGCAAUAUACUUUUAGUGGCGAACGGGUGAGUAACGCGUUGGUGACCUGCCCCGAAGCGAGGGAUAACAGUUCGAAAGAACUGCUAAUACCUCAUGUGAUCACCGGUUUUAGAAUCUGGUGAUUAAAGGUGAAAAUCACUUCGGGAGGGGCCUGCGUCCCAUCAGCUAGUUGGUAAGGUAAUGGCUUACCAAGGCGAUGACGGGUAGGGGACCUGAGAGGGUGGCCCCCCACAAUGGAACUGAAACACGGUCCAUACACCUACGGGUGGCAGCAGUAGGGAAUAUUGCAAGUGGGCGAAAGCCUGAUGUAGCAACGCCGCGUGUGCGAUGAAGGUCUUCGGAUUGUAAAGCACUUUUUGGAGGGAUGAGGAAGGACAGUACCUCCAGAAUAAGCCUCGGCUAACUACGUGCCAGCAGCCGCGGUAACACGUAGGAGGCAAGCGUUAUUCGGAUUUACUGGGCGUAAAGCGCGUGCAGGCGGUUUGGAAAGUUGGAUGUGAAAGCUCCUGGCUCAACUGGGAGAGGUCGUUCAAAACUUCCAGACUUGAGAGUGGUAGAGGGAGGUGGAAUUCCGGGUGUAGUGGUGAAAUGCGUAGAUAUCCGGAGGAACACCAGUGGCGAAAGCGGCCUCCUGGACCACUUCUGACGCUCAGACGCGAAAGCUAGGGUAGCAAACGGGAUUAGAGACCCCGGUAGUCCUAGCUGUAAACGAUGUGAACUUGGCGUUGGUGGGUUUAAAUCCAUCAGUGCCGAAGCUAACGCGAUAAGUUCACCGCCUGGGGACUACGGCCGCAAGGUUAAAACUCAAAUGAAUUGACGG